AUUGAACGCUGGCGGCAGGCCUAACACAUGCAAGUCGAGCGAGCGGCGGACGGGUGAGUAAUGUAUGGGGACUGCCCGAUAGAGGGGGAUAACUACUGGAAACGGUAGCUAAUACCGCAUACUAUCGGAUAACCCAUAUGGGAGUAGCUAGUAGGUUAGGUAAUGGCUACCCUAGGCGACGAUCCCUAGCUGGUCUGAGAGGAUGAUCAGCCACACUGGGACUGAGACACGGCCCAGACUCCUACGGAGGCAGCAGUGGGGAAGAUGGCACAAUGGGCGCAAGCCUGAUGCAGCCAUGCCGCGUGUAUGAAGAAGGCCCUAGGGUUGGAAAGUACUUGCAGGCGGGAGGCGUUGCCGACAGAAGAAGCACCGGCUAAAUCCGUGCCAACAGCCGCGGUAAUUC
rnacentral:rRNA from 1 species